UACGUAGGGGGCUAGCGUUGUCCGGAAUCAUUGGGCGUAAAGAGCGUGUAGGCGGCCCGGUAAGUCCGCUGUGAAAGUCGGGGGCUCAACCCUCGAAUGCCGGUGGAUACUGUCGGGCUCGAGUCCGGAAGAGGCGAGUGGAAUUCCUGGUGUAGCGGUGAAAUGCGCAGAUAUCAGGAGGAACACCGAUGGCGAAGGCAGCUCGCUGGGACGGUACUGACGCUGAGACGCGAAAGCGUGGGGAGCAAACAGG
rnacentral:rRNA from 1 species